rnacentral:rRNA from 1 species
GACAGAGGGUGCAAACGUUGCUCGGAAUCACUGGGCGUAAAGAGCGUGUAGGCGGCCAGGCAGGUCUGUUGUGAAAACUGGAGGCUCAACUUCCAGACGUCGACAGAAACCGCUUGGCUAGAGUCCGGAAGAGGAGAGUGGAAUUCCUGGUGUAGCGGUGAAAUGCGCAGAUAUCAGGAAGAACACCGAUGGCGAAGGCAGCUCUCUGGGACGGUACUGACGCUGAGACGCGAAAGCGUGGGGAGCGAACAGG